UACGUAGGGGGCGAGCGUUGUCCGGAAUUAUUGGGCGUAAAGAGCGUGUAGGCGGUUCGGUAAGUCUGCCGUGAAAAUCUGGGGCUCAACCCUGGGCGUGCGGUGGAUACUGCCGGGCUAGAGGGUGGUAGAGGCGAGUGGAAUUCCCGGUGUAGCGUUGAAAUGCGCAGAUAUCGGGAGGAACACCAGUAGCGAAGGCGGCUCGCUGGGCCAUUCCUGACGCUGAGACGCGAAAGCUAGGGGAGCGAACAGG
rnacentral:rRNA from 1 species